AGCAGCCGCGGUAAUUCCAGCUCCAAUAGCGUAUAUUAAAGUUGUUGCAGUUAAAAAGCUCGUAGUUGAAUUUCGGGGUUAGUAGGUUGGUCAUGCCUCUGGUAUGUACUGGUCUCACUGAUUCCUCCUUCCUGAUGAGCCGUAAUGCCAUUAAUUUGGUGUUACGGGGAAUUUGGACUGUUACUUUGAAAAAAUUAGAGUGUUUAAAGCAAGCUAACGCUUGAAUACAUUAGCAUGGAAUAAUGAAAUAGGACGCUCGAUCCUAUUUUGUUGGUUUCUAGGAUUGACGUAAUGAUUAAUAGGGAUAGUUGGGGGCAUUAGUAUUCAAUUGUCAGAGGUGAAAUUCUUGGAUUUAUUGAAGACUAACUACUGCGAAAGCAUUUGCCAAGGAUGUUUUCAUUAAUCAAGAACGAAAGUUAGGGGAUCGAAGACGAUCAGAUACCGUCGUAGUCUUAACCAUAAACUAUGCCGACUAGGGAUCGGAUGAUGUUAAUUUUUAAUGACUCAUUCGGCGCCUUAA
rnacentral:rRNA from 1 species